GACGAACGCUGGCGGCGUGCCUAAUACAUGCAAGUAGAACGCUGAAGGAGGAGCUUGCUUCUCUGGAUGAGUUGCGAACGGGUGAGUAACGCGUAGGUAACCUGCCUGGUAGCGGGGGAUAACUAUUGGAAACGAUAGCUAAUACCGCAUAAUAGUAGAUGUUGCAUGACAUUUGCUUAAAAGGUGCAAUUGCAUCACUACCAGAGGGACCUGCGUUGUAUUAGCUAGUUGGUGAGGUAACGGCUCACCAAGGCAACGAUACAUAGCCGACCGGAGAGGGUGAUCGGCCACACUGGGACUGUGACACGGCCCAGACUCCUACGGGAGGCAGCAGUAGUGAAUCUUCGGCAAUAGACGGAAGUCUGACCGAGCAACGCCGCGUGAGUGAAGAAGGUUUUCGGGUCGUAAAGCUCUGUUGUCAGAGAAGAACGAGUGUGAGAGUGGAACGUUCACACUGUGACGGUAUCUUACCAGAAAGGGACGGCUAACUACGUG
rnacentral:rRNA from 1 species